rnacentral:rRNA from 1 species
AGCGGAGGUAGUUUGAUGGUAACUGAUAACUACUUUAUCGGCGGACGGGUGAGUAACACGUGGGCAACCUGCCUCUCAGAGGGGGAUAACACCCGGAAAUCUGUGCUAAUACCCCAUAACAUCUGCUUAUCCCAUGGGAAGCUGAUCUCAGGAGUAAUCCCCUUUUAGAUGGGCCCCCGCCUGAUUAUCUAGUUGGUGAGGUAAUGGCUCUCCCAGGCGACAAUCUGUAGCCCACCUGAGAGGGUGACCGGCCACACUGUAACUGAGACACGGUCCAGACUCCUACAGGAGGGAGCAGUGGGGAAUAUUGCGCACUGGGGGAAACCCUGACACACCAACACCCCGUGUAGAAAAAAGGUCUUCUCAUUGUAAACUCCUGUCUUCUGGGACAAUAAUGACGGUACCCGAGGAGAAAGCCCCGGCUAACUACAUGCCAGCAGCCGCGGUAAUACAUAGGUGGCGAGCGUUGUCCCGAAUUACUGGGCGUAAAGGGCGCGUAGACGGCUCUUUAUGUUAGAUGUGAAAACCCCGGGCUUAUCUCUGGGACUGCAUUUAAAACUCAAGGGCUCUAGUGCACGAGAGAUAAGUGGAAUUCCUAGUGUAGCGCUGAAAUGCGUAGAUAUUAGGAGGAACACCCGUGGCGAAGGCGACUUACUGGACUGUAACUGACACUCAGACGCGAAAGCGUGUGGAGCAAACAGGAUUAUAUACCCUGGGAGUCCACGCUGUAAACAAUGGAUACUAGGUGCGGGAGGUAUCUACCCCUUCUGUGCCGCAGUAAACACAAUAAGUAUCUCGCCUGUGGAGAACACCCGCACGGUUGAAACUCACAGGAAUUGACGGGGGCCCGCACAAGCAGCGGGAGCAUGUGUUUUAUUUCUAAGCAACGCGAAAAAACUUUACCCGAACUUGGACAUCUCCUGCAAUACACGCAACUGGGGAAAUCCUUUCUCGACACAUAUACAGGGGGGGCAUGGGUGUCUCCAGCCCUCGUCUCGAGAUAUGGGGUUAAACCCUGCACAAGCGCACC